rnacentral:rRNA from 1 species
ACUCCUACGGGAGGCAGCAGUGGGGAAUAUUGCACAAUGGGCGCAAGCCUGAUGCAGCCAUGCCGCGUGUAUGAAGAAGGCCUUCGGGUUGUAAAGUACUUUCAGCGGGGAGGAAGGCGAUAAGGUUAAUAACCUUGUCGAUUGACGUUACCCGCAGAAGAAGCACCGGCUAACUCCGUGCCAGCAGCCGCGGUAAUACGGAGGGUGCAAGCGUUAAUCGGAAUUACUGGGCGUAAAGCGCACGCAGGCGGUCUGUCAAGUCGGAUGUGAAAUCCCCGGGCUCAACCUGGGAACUGCAUUCGAAACUGGCAGGCUAGAGUCUUGUAGAGGGGGGUAGAAUUCCAGGUGUAGCGGUGAAAUGCGUAGAGAUCUGGAGGAAUACCGGUGGCGAAGGCGGCCCCCUGGACAAAGACUGACGCUCAGGUGCGAAAGCGUGGGGAGCAAACAGGAUUAGAAACCCUGGUAGUCCCAU